rfam:Coprothermobacter proteolyticus DSM 5265, complete genome.
GGGACUUGUACUCGUUGCGGUGCAACGAUGGUAAAAGA